rnacentral:rRNA from 1 species
AACGAACGCUGGCGGCAUGCCUAACACAUGCAAGUCGAACGAAGCCUUCGGGCUUAGUGGCGCACGGGUGCGUAACGCGUGGGAAUCUGCCCUUUGGUUCGGAGUAACAGUUGGAAACGACUGCUAAUACCGGAUGAUGACGAAAGUCCAAAGAUUUAUCGCCAGAGGAUGAGCCCGCGUAGGAUUAGCUAGUUGGUGUGGUAAAGGCGCACCAAGGCGACGAUCCUUAGCUGGUCUGAGAGGAUGAUCAGCCACACUGGGACUGAGACACGGCCCAGACUCCUACGGGAGGCAGCAGUGGGGAGUAUUGGACAAUGGGCGAAAGCCUGAUCCAGCAAUGCCGCGUGAGUGAUGAAGGCCCUAGGGUUGUAAAGCUCUUUUACCCGGGAUGAUAAUGACAGUACCGGGAGAAUAAGCCCCGGCUAACUCCGUGCCAGCCGCCGCCGUAA